rnacentral:rRNA from 1 species
GAUUGCGAUCAUACCAGCACUAAUGCACCGGAUCCCAUCAGAACUCCACAGUUAAGCAUGCUUGGGCGAGAGUAGUACUAGGAUGGGUGACCCCCUGGGAAGUCCUCGUGUUGCAACCCC